rnacentral:rRNA from 1 species
CGUGAGUAACCUGCCCCUGACUCUGGGAUAAGCCUUGGAAACGAGGUCUAAUACCGGAUAUGUGACGUUCAGGCAUCUGAUGCGUCUGGAAAGAUUUAUCGGUCAGGGAUGGACUCGCGGCCUAUCAGCUUGUUGGUGGGGUAACGGCCUACCAAGGCGACGACGGGUAGCCGGCCUGAGAGGGCGACCGGCCACACUGGGACUGAGACACGGCCCAGACUCCUACGGGAGGCAGCAGUGGGGAAUAUUGCACAAUGGGCGCAAGCCUGAUGCAGCGACGCCGCGUGAGGGAUGAAGGCCUUCGGGUUGUAAACCUCUUUCAGCAGGGAAGAAGCGCAAGUGACGGUACCUGCAGAAGAAGCGCCGGCUAACUACGUGCCAGCAGCCGCGGUAAUACGUAGGGCGCAAGCGUUGUCCGGAAUUAUUGGGCGUAAAGAGCUCGUAGGCGGUUUGUCGCGUCUGCUGUGAAAACUCGAGGCUCAACCUCGGGCUUGCAGUGGGUACGGGCAGACUAGAGUGCGGUAGGGGAGACUGGAAUUCCUGGUGUAGCGGUGGAAUGCGCAGAUAUCAGGAGGAACACCGAUGGCGAAAGGCAGGUCUCUGGGCCGCAACUGACGCUGAGGAGCGAAAGCAUGGGGAGCGAACAGGAUUAGAUACCC